rnacentral:sRNA from 1 species
UCCCAUUUCUUGGUCUGCACGGUUUGUG